rnacentral:lncRNA from 1 species
UGAACAAUAGAGAAGAUUAGUUGUUUUUUAUUUGUGGAUGUUGACAGAAGUAAAGCGACGACGCGAUCUGUCGCGGGGUUUGAAAAUGACUGUCAUUAAGCAUUAUAAUACACGGCUUAAUUAAGGGGCAAGUUCAAUUAACCUGGGAUUGUUUAAUAAAAGUAAUGGAGAUUCCAACUUGAUGGAGAGCAACUUGUGGCUCUUCCUCCAAACCAAAAACCACCAACACCACCCCCACCCAUUCACCACGUCAUCUUUGAGUUGCCUCUCGCCUCUCCAUUGGAGAUUAGAGUCGCUUGGCCCAUAAGCAAAUCAAAAGUACCAUCUGCUUUUGAACACAUUCAAGUUCCAUGGUCCUUAUUUUCGGCUUUCUUUCCCUUUCUUAAUCGGUUAUUAUAUUGUCAAACCUGCGAAACCGCCUGCGAAACCGAGGAACCAUAUUAGUGCGGUUUCGUCUUAAUCUUAGGGCAGUUUUACUCAAAUCUGUAUUAUGACGUGUCGUGGAUAACAUCACACUACCAUGGAUAAGAAUGGAUAAUAAAAUUGAAUAAAAAUAAAACAAAAACUCACUGAAUGGAGAAAAAAAUUUCAUUGGCUGCUCUCUCGGCUCUUCUUCUCGCCAUUGUGCCUGAGACUGUGCGUCACUCUACUCCAUAGAGUAAACCCAUUUGGAUAUUUUCCCAUAGAGUAAACCCAUUUGGAUAUUUUCCCAGAAAGGACU